rnacentral:rRNA from 1 species
ACAUGCUUACAGCAUAGCGUUAAUGCAUUGGAUCCCAUUAGAACUUCAUAGUUAAGUGCACUUAGGCUAGAGUAGUACUGGGAUGAGUGACUGCCCGGGAAGUGCUAGUGUUUUACAUGCC